AUGUGCCCCCCCUACAGGCACACUUGGCAUGAAAGUUACACUAUCUUGUCUGCCUCUGCACCCAUCAUGCAUCAAGGAUGAGUCAAAGAGAAAAAUUUAAAAGGAUCCAUGUGUGAGGAUGCAUGCAGUCAGCUCUUUGUCUUGAACAAAAUGUUUUUAAUAUUUGAAUAUUUAAAUAAAAGUAUGACUUUA